rnacentral:rRNA from 1 species
AUUGAACGCUGGCGGCAUGCUUUACACAUGCAAGUCGAACGGUAACAGGGUGCUUGCACCGCUGACGAGUGGCGAACGGGUGAGUAAUGCGUCGGAACGUGCCGAGUAGUGGGGGAUAACGCAGCGAAAGUUGUGCUAAUACCGCAUACGUACUGAGGUAGAAAGUGGGGGACCUUCGGGCCUCACGCUAUUCGAGCGGCCGACGUCUGAUUAGCUAGUAGGUGAGGUAAAGGCUCACCUAGGCGACGAGCAGUAGCGGGUCUGAGAGGAUGAUCCGCGACACUGGGACGGAGACACGGCCCAGACUCCUACGGGAGGCAGCAGUGGGGAAUUUUGGACAAUGGGCGAAAGCCUGAUCCAGCCAUGCCGCGUGUCUGAAGAAGGCCUUCGGGUUGUAAAGGACUUUUGUCGGGGAGGAAAUCCCCAGCGUUAAUACCGCUGGGGGAUGACAGUACCUGAAGAAUAAGCACCGGCUAACUACGUGCCAGCCGCCGCGGUAACAC